GAAAGUCUUUAUUUGGCCUGGUGGUUCAUUCACUUGCAAAAUGUAGAAAAGGAGCCGUUUUGUGUACAAACAAGGAUAUAAAAAAAUAGGUAUUUUGGUACUUACGGUCGGGAGAUGGGUCAAACAAGCUUAUUUUACCGUUUAAACAGAAUCAAGUAGGACUUUUUAAAUGCUGAUGCGAAUUGUCCAGGUUACGUUAUUACAGCUUUUGAAAUGAUUUGAGAUGCUGAAAAAUAUAGGAUCAAAAGGACUUGCUGAAAUCUCAAGGAUAUUUAAGCUCUGAAAACCACUGAAGUCAACAGAUCAGACUUCCUGGCCCCACUUCCUGGGCAUCUUGUGAACUUGGCAUGUAUAAUGAUGGCAAGUGUAUCAUCCAAGGUUGAAGGUCUGGCUGAGGUCACAGCUUUAGUCUACAACAGCACUAAUGGUAUACUGACUUGUCUUGAUCCAGAUACAGAGUACAUUGAAUGUGCAGACCCCACUGGAUGUGGCCUGGGUUUAGACAGCCCCACACAAGACCAUCAGGCUUGUACUGAGCUUUCUCUUCCAGCUGGUUCUAACAACAAAACAGACAUGUUUCCAACUCUGCCGUGGACUCCAGAAAUGAUUGCAACAUACUGCAAGAAAAAAAAGGGGUGUGGUACCUCAACCUAACUGGGCACCCAUACAGUUCUGUUUUUUGUUUCUUUAAUUUAUUUUCCAGAUAUAUCUUCAUGUUCUAAUAUUAUCUUAUCCAAUGGUGACCUGGAUCCAUGGAGAACUGGAGGUGUAAGUUUAUGGUAUUUGAAGGGCUGUGGUUGCUUCCAACUGCUGUUGUUGGAUUUA